rnacentral:lncRNA from 1 species
UUGGAGUGAAGGCUGUUAGUCGCCGCGUGAGUUUCCCUCUAUCUAGAUUAAACCUGCGUUUCGGAGUCCCCUGCUCCUCCGUACCCGAUGUCCGGGGGUAGAACCCUGGAAGAAGAGGAAGAGGAAGGCAAAGGAGUCAGGGAUGGCUCUUCCUCAGGAAAAACAACUCAAAAACCAUGUUUUCCUCUGCUCUCACACCAACACCACAAUCCACACAGAAGACUUCUGUGGCCAAAUGCGAGGGGUUUCUCCCCACCAACAAACAGCAAGCAACCAACUGGCUGUCCUCCAGUUCAGUUCCAACACUGUCUGCAUGAAGAUAGUGUCAGAUCUCACAGAUUGAUGGCUCAGUUCCCAGUUGCAUGUCCAGGCCUCUGAAACUUCUGACCGACCAACUUCAAGUUGAAGUUCCCAUGAACCCUUCUUUGGGUUGGAUUUAUUUGCUGGAGCAACUCUUAGAGGUCAGAGAAACACUCAGUUUUACUGGUUGAUUAUAAAUACUAUUACAGAAGAUACCAGUGAAGAGAUGCAUAAGGUGAGGUAUGGGGAAAGGGGCGCAGAGCUUCCC